AUUUCAUUCAACCCCACCAAGUAAUGGUGAUUAUUACAUAUACAAAUUAAAAUGAAAAUUUAUUUACAAAUUUACAAACUCAAAAGAUAACAAAAUAUUAUUACAAGUUCAUUUGUACAACUACUCGUUGUCUUUUAGAUACAUAUGGACUAAAUUAUAUCAAAAUGAAUUUACAAGGGUAUAAAUAAUAUACCCGAAAAAGAUCCAAAAAUGGCUUCAAUCACAGCUACUAGCAGUUGCUCACUCUGCUGCUUUGCCCUUCUUUUUAUCUGCAACAGCAUGAAACAGCAAUCACUUUAUUUAAUGCCGAUAUCGUCGAAGAGUUGAAAACUGUGAGUCUUGAUGCUUGCUGGGCACUUGAUAAAGAUGGAAGAAUCCCCCAUCACUUGGCAGCCAUGAAAGGAAGAGUUGACAUUAUAAAGGAAUUGAUCAGCAUUUGUCCCGAUUCAAUUAGAGAGAAGCUCCAAUUAAGAUGGAUCUUUUCUGCCAAGAUAAAAGAAGCCAAAAUGGCUACGACAUUGAUCAUCAUCAAGGGGCUAAAAAAAGCAAAAACUGGACCCUUUUUCUU
rnacentral:misc_RNA from 1 species